rnacentral:rRNA from 1 species
GUGGGGAAUAUUGCACAAUGGGGGAAACCCUGAUGCAGCGACGCCGCGUGGGUGAAGAAGUAUCUCGGUAUGUAAAGCCCUAUCAGCAGGGAAGAAAGAAAUGACAGUACCUGACUAAGAAGCCCCGGCUAACUACGUGCCAGCAGCCGCGGUAAUACGUAGGGGGCAAGCGUUAUCCGGAUUUACUGGGUGUAAAGGGAGCGUAGGCGGCCAUGUAAGUCAGAAGUGAAAGCCCGGGGCCCAACCCCGGGACUGCUUUUGAAACUGUGUGGCUAGAGUGUCGGAGGGGUAAGUGGAAUUCCUAGUGUAGCGGUGAAAUGCGUAGAUAUUAGGAGGAACACCAGUGGCGAAGGCGGCUUACUGGACGAUGACUGACGCUGAGGCUCGAAAGCGUGGGGAGCAAACAGGA